UCCUUCCCCGUUUCCCCGCCCGGGGCCGCGGCCCUCGGGAAGCCGCCCGCGCCCACGAGGUGGCCGGGCGGCCUCUCUCUCCCCUCUUCAUCGCGUGACUAAUAAAGUUUACUGCGGAAGGAUUCCUGUGGUCGCGUGCGUUUCUGUCGGCGAAACAUUCACGCGGCGGCUCCCAACAUCUGGUGCCGAAACCCGGGAACAUUGCUGGGAAGAAAACAAUCCAUUCUGGGUACCGGAGCGCCUCACGCGAAAGCUCGUGACAGCUGAAGAUGAUCUUCCAACAGACACACCUGCUACUGCUAAAAGAAUCCAGGACAGCGAGGAGGACCACUAAUUCUACUCGAGUGGAUUCAUUGCCCACAGACUGGCUUUACCCUGGGUUUCUUCUGCCUUUUCUUACUUCAGAUUGGGUGGGGGUCGGAAUGUUUGGUGUAGCAUUGUGUCGUGGCUUAGUGUUUUUUACUCUGGUUGUUCUGCAAACUCUAUACCCAAAAAAAACGUGACUAGGUCGCAAUCGCGCAAGCACUAGCACCCUUGGAACAAGGAUCGUCUCCCAAAAAUUUGGUUAUCCAUGUUAAAAAAUUAAAACAGACUGUGACACUCAGUCGAUGCACCUCAGGGGUUUCACCCAUUGCACUGAGUCGAUGAGUGAUCCAGGUUAAUGUUGCCUUUGCCUAAACGGUUAUGGUACCUAGACAGGAGGGUGACAGCUCUUGCACUCCCUGGAAUUUUAUUCCAUUGCACGGGAAUGAGUGUCACCUCCUUUUAAAAAUCUUCUCCCCUAGCCCCUGCACCCAGAGGACUUGUUUCCAUUGCACCUGGUGGGGUAAGGGAGUAAUCUAAAGCUUUUGAUCGCUUACUCCCCAAAGAAGGAGUUUGCUUGAUCGAGCUUAGGGCCCUCUUGUACCGUGCUUAUAGGCUUUUAGGCAGUUUUCAUUUAUUUAUUUAUAACAAAAAGGGAGAUGUGGGGAGCCGAGACUCAGAUGCCACUAGCUGGCGCUGACAUCUCGCCCUCAAAACUUAAACCUCCAGGGUGCAUGCGUAGAUGCGUAUACACGCUAAAGAUUGCGUAAGCACGCUAAGGAUUGCGUAGGCACGCCGGUAAGAGUGAGCAGCCAACCAGGGUAUUGACACGUCACAAGGCCGCUAGCAUAAUGGUCCUAGUCAUCAGGCGGGGUAAAAGUAAGCAGCCAGUCAGGGUAUUCACACGUCACUCAGGUGCGACCCCGGCUUAUAUAAACAGCGCUACUCCGGAGCCCGUCCUCUCCUUCGAUCUCUUCCUUCCCCGUUUCCCCGCCCGGGGCCGCGGCCCUCGGGAAGCCGCCCGCGCCCACGAGGUGGCCGGGCGGCCUCUCUCUCCCCUCUUCAUCGCGUGACUAAUAAAGUUUACUGCGGAAGGAU